GAUGAACGCUGGCGGCGUGCCUAAUACAUGCAAGUCGAGCGAACAGAUGAGGAGCUUGCUCCUCUGACGUUAGCGGCGGACGGGUGAGUAACACGUGGAUAACCUACCUAUAAGACUGGGAUAACUUCGGGAAACCGGAGCUAAUACCGGAUAAUAUAUUGAACCGCAUGGUUCAAUAGUGAAAGACGGUUUUGCUGUCACUUAUAGAUGGAUCCGCGCCGCAUUAGCUAGUUGGUAAGGUAACGGCUUACCAAGGCGACGUUGCGUAGCCGACCUGAGAGGGUGAUCGGCCACACUGGAACUGAGACACGGUCCAGACUCCUACGGGAGGCAGCAGUAGGGAAUCUUCCGCAAUGGGCGAAAGCCUGACGGAGCAACGCCGCGUGAGUGAUGAAGGUCUUCGGAUCGUAAAACUCUGUUAUUAGGGAAGAACAAAUGUGUAAGUAACUAUGCACGUCUUGACGGUACCUAAUCAGAAAGCCACGGCUAACUACGUG
rnacentral:rRNA from 1 species